GACGAACGCUGGCGGCGUGCUUAACACAUGCAAGUCGAGCGGUAAGGCCUUUCGGGGUACACGAGCGGCGAACGGGUGAGUAACACGUGGGUGAUCUGCCCUGCACUUCGGGAUAAGCCUGGGAAACUGGGUCUAAUACCGGAUAUGACCUCCUAUCGCAUGGUGGGUGGUGGAAAGAUUUAUCGGUGCAGGAUGGGCCCGCGGCCUAUCAGCUUGUUGGUGGGGUAAUGGCCUACCAAGGCGACGACGGGUAGCCGACCUGAGAGGGUGGCCGGCCACACUGGGACUGAGACACGGCCCAGACUCCUACGGGAGGCAGCAGUGGGGAAUAUUGCACAAUGGGCGAAAGCCUGAUGCAGCGACGCCGCGUGAGGGAUGACGGCCUUCGGGUUGUAAACCUCUUUCAGCAGGGGCGAAGCGCAAGUGACGGUACCUGCAGAAGAAGCACCGGCUAACUACGUG
rnacentral:rRNA from 1 species